rnacentral:rRNA from 1 species
UACAACUUUCAACAACGGAUCUCUUGGCUCUCGCAUCGAUGAAGAACGCAGCGAAAUGCGAUAAGUAAUGUGAAUUGCAGAAUUCAGUGAAUCAUCGAAUCUUUGAACGCACCUUGCGCUCCUUGGUAUUCCGAGGAGCAUGCCUGUUUGAGUGUCAUGAAUAU